AUAUAUAUAUAUAUACAUAUAUAUAUACAUACAUAGCUAACAAUCAAUGCUAGAAAUAGCAGCCGGUAAGCUAUCGGCGCUAUGUAGAGCUUCACUGAAUGUUUACAAGCAGAGAUGUUUGCAGGCGGUGAAUAUCAGAAAAUUCCGUCUUACC